CAACCUAUUCUAUAGGGUUCCUCAUUUUUUUUUCCCAAAUCCCUCCAACCCUUCUUCUCCGUCAGUCUAUUACAACUAUUUCAAAAUCAGAACUCAGAAGUAGAACUCAGUGAACCCACUCCUCCGGUCCUCCACUCCUCCUUCCUCUUACAUCCGUGAGAAGAAGCGACACAGCCUCGCAGCACAGUGAAUCGUGAUUCCUGAGCGAUUAGCCAUACCGAUUACCGACGGUGGACUCUGCAAUUUAGAUUUCCGACCUGCUACUUCGAGACCUUAGCUAAUCACUGGAAUUCCGUAUUAGCUAGCGAUACCGAUUACCGACUCUGCAAUUUAGAUUUUAGACCUGCUAUUUCGAGUUCGACAACGGUGCAGCGGGAAAGAGUGGGCUGGAUUCUGGAUUCUGGAUUCUGGAAUGGCUUUUUCUGGUUUGAGUCUUUGAGAACAGGACGAUUGUUCCAUUCAUUCAUUUUUUUUUCAUUGUGAUAUAUGAUGAUCCAUUCAUUCCUUUUUUUUUCUGCAAGUUGUUCUGUAAACUGAGAAAUUAUCUUGGCUGAUUCCAAUGGUUUGACAUUAUAUUUUGUGCUGAGAUUAUAUGUAUCCAUGUUUUGGAGUGGAGUAUAGUCCUCCUUAGUUUAUUAUUUUUGCUAAUAUGAAUAAUAUACAGUGGAUUUAUUAAACAUA